GCAAACUUGGUCAUUUAGAGGAAGUAAAAGUCGUAACAAGGUUUCCGUAGGUGAACCUGCGGAAGGAUCAUUACCGAGUGGAUGGCCCCUCAUGGGGCCCAUGUCCCUCCCUCCUUGUCUUCUGCUACCACGUUGCUUUGGCGGGCCGGCCGCAUUGUGGCCGCCUGGGGGCAUCCCCCGGGUCCGCGUCCGCCAGAGGCCCUUUUAACGCAAGCUAUGUGAACAGGUCUGAAUGAGAGCUUAUGAUGAGCACAAAACUUUCAACAAUGGAUCUCUUGGUUCCGGCAUCGAUGAAGAACGCAGC
rnacentral:misc_RNA from 1 species